UGGUCCACCCUAACCUGCUUCAGUCAGCCAGGGGCCUGCCAGGUUUUCCUUGUGGGCCCGAGCACCCUUAGAAGCUUCACCAGAAGAGUGAGCAAGGACUCAGUGGGUCCCUGCAGUGGGUGCUUCUAGGCAUGA